CCUUCAUGCAAAUACCCUAAUGCAAUUAUUUCCUCUUUGACAGCUUCAAUGUCUCAAAAAUGCCCUUGUCUUUUAGCAGUGCUAGUGACUUUGUAUGUCCCCAACACUGAAGAUGUUGCUGGGAAAAAACCAAAACAGGCGAUUAACAACUCUACUGGAGUCUUAAGAAACCCCAUAUUCUGAGUAAGAAUACUUUACCAGACUUUAGAAAUGCCCAAGGACACAUUGUACCCUGCUCUGCCACUGUCACCACCGAAACCACACCAGCCUAAUGCAUGUAUUUGCAGCAGGUACUGUAUGAAUGAUGCAAAGGGCUGCCUUGUGUUUGCACACACUUAAGGAGGGAGAGCUCAGAUCCCUUCCUAUUUCUUACCAAAAAUGCAGAGUUUCUGCUCUUACAGGCCAAGAGGGGAUAAGACAGGCAGAUAUUUCUACCAACCAAGUUUCACAAAAGGGAUGACACACUAGAGACCUCCAUGGAAAUGUUGGCUGGCUCCCUCCCACCAGAAGCAAGGAGGAGAACAGCAGUACCAGGAAGCUGAAUGGAGGUGUACAUAGGUAAUGUGGUCAUCAAUAGAAGGCUUUUGUGUUGCCUUGUAUUCUCCUUUUUAUGCCUCUGAACUUCUGCGAUUUCAUGAAGCCACAAGCAGGAGAAGGUGCUGGCACCUUGAGGUUGCCCAACCACCUUCCAACAUUCAGCACAGGGAGCCUGGGGCCAAUCGGCUCUUCCAGCCGAUCAAAUGUCACUAUAAGUUGAGAGCUGCAUCACCUUGGGACGCUCGCAGAUCCCAGCCUGCCCGUCCCCUCCGACAGGGAGCUUGGUGCUUCUCUCCACUCCUCCCAGGAACUAAUUGCCAACAUGUCUGAUACCGAGGAAGUGUAAGUAGAAAGCUGUGUGUGUGUUUACCUGCUCAGCUUGGCUCCACACAGCAGAGAGAGGGCAUCCCUGCAGGGUGCUGCUCUGUGCAAGCCUGAAGCCCCCCGAGGCACUGGGGAAGGGACAUCUUGACUUAGAGUGUCCAAGACCCCUCCCUGUCCAACACAGGACAUCCCCCA
rnacentral:lncRNA from 1 species